CGAACCGAGGCGGGAGAGUCCCGCAGGAGCGGGCGCCGAAGGAGCAACCCUCCCCGGGAAUCUCUCAGGCCCCUGUACCGCCACGGCGAG
rnacentral:ncRNA from 2 species